AUGCCCGUGACUUCUGAGGGUUACCUUCUUCUGUCAAGGAAUGUCGUUUCUGUAGAUGUUAACAAGAGCCUGAAUGUUCUCCUAGAGGCCUGCUUACCAUCUGGUCAUAUCAUUGCACAAAAAGAAUUGUCCUUCGAACCCAAACUUUGCAACAUAAGUCAGGAUAGUUGUGAACUUAAUGGUAUUGAGUUGGAGAUCACUGUUGCUUGGUCUAGUCUUGUUUGUGAGAAGCAGGAUAUUUGGGUACAAGGAUGUGUUGGUGACGAGGAGCAGGACUGGGACGUUGCAUCAAUGGAGCAGCAGGUGCCGGAGAUAGACUCGAAAUUGACAUCGGAGGUGGGGCCAGAGGGGGAAACAGAGUCGGCGAUGAGUCUGGAUACCAGUGAAUUGGCGAAUGAAUCGAGUACCUCCAUGUUCGUAUCAGACAAGUCAAUACUCGAACCUGCAGAUUAUGUUGCCGCCAACACAGGUUACGAUGUUGAGAAGAUGUAUAGAGGCAAAUCAGACGAACAAUUAAAAAUUGAGGCCAAGGAGAUGGCUGCCGAACAGAAGAGUUUUGACAUGUAUGUUGAUGCCUGGGAAGGGUCAUGGGGUUAUGAUGGGUUCGGUUGCUUCCGAGACAUGACGACAGUGAGUUCCAUGCAAUACACACACUUGGUACCAGGGAGCACCCCGUUGCACUAUGGUCGAGUAUUGCACUAUGGUCGAGUAUUGCCUAGCCUGCAGAUCUUCUCCGUUAAACUCGCAGAAAUACGAGGUGGUCUGGAAUGGCCGUUGCCAGUGUACGGCACGGUCGCUGCCCGAGACCAUGUGGAUCACAAUCGCAACCUUCUGUUUGCCCGCAACAGGAGUGAGUGCCAGAUACUCAAUGAAGAGGAUUCCUUUUUGACCUUGACUGGCCCCUCUCAUGCAAUUGUCAGCAAGGAAUCUGUUGUCUUUGAAAUCCAACUAAAAGUAAGAGGUAGAACAAAGUCUCAAGAUAAGCCACUGAUCAAUGGCGUGUACACUUACCACAGCAGAGAAAGCCCCAUUUGCUUUAGGAACUGCUUUUGCACCGUAGAGUUAAGUUUGGAGAGAAUUAAGAAAUCAGUGCAGGCCACUAUUUUGGGCGUCCGUGUCAAAGAGGAGGGGUCAUGGCCAGCAUUCGGAGGUCGAGUUGCUUGCUCAGUCAUUGGACCUGACGCCAGCCCUCAGGAAAUUGAGCUGCUAGAUUCUCGUUAUACAACCGUGCCGAUUACUUCUCAGGGUUACCUUGUUCUAUCAAGGAAUGUUGUCUCUGUAGACUACUGCGGAAGCCUGAAUUUUCUCUUGGAAGCCUACUCAGAUUCUGGUAAUAAAGUUGCACAAAAAAAUGAGUCCUUCGAGCCCAAGUUUUCCAACAUAAGCCAGCAAACAAGUAAACUCACUGGAGGCAUUGAGUUGGAGAUCACUGUUGCAUGGUCCAGUCUCAUUUCUGAGAAGUGGGACAUCUCUUAUGGCGAGGACUGCAAUUUGUGA
rnacentral:rRNA from 1 species